GAGCAGCUGUCUGGGGAGCAGGCUGCGGUGUACAGUGCCCUCUCUGUCGAUGACAGACAGAGGGUCCAGCAGAUUGAGGAGCUGAGGCGUGCAGUGAAACAGGAGGCUGAGGAGCUGGAGAUGCAGUUGAAAGAGCUGGCCCAUUAUCAUAAUGAUGAGAGCUUUAAAAUGAAGAUGCACAGACUGUUGGAUGAGCAGUCUGUGCUGUGCUCUCAACUCCAACAGUUUUCACCUGGAGCUUCCUUGUCUGGAGUGAGGACAGUCGCCACUCAGUGCUGUCUUUCUAACACCUGGAGCUUUGAUUCACCCACAGAGUCGCCUCUAGGAAAGGAGAGUGUUUGUGAGGACCACAGUGGUUGCCCAGCUAAAAAAGACAAGCUGGACCUAGUAAGCUUAUUGCAGAGAGUGAGAAAGUCAUGUAUUCAAUAAGGGUUUGGCAGUCCGCCACACAUUCACGUAGAACCCGCAUAACUUAUAACCGGCUUAUAACUGCAUAACCGGUAUUUUCAUUUUUUGGUCUGGAUUAUUGUUUGAAUCUGUCUUUCUUCCUUUUUACCCCCCUGCUCAGUUCUAUCACACAGUUACAGAUGUGAUAAUGUUCCAACAGUGAUGGAUGUGGGUUCUGCAUGAUGUUGAUAUGUGCGCUUUUUAUUCAAUUAUUUUAUUAUAAUUUUUUUUUUUUAAGUUUUAAUUGGAAUGAUAAAAAAAAACAUAUUGUUACAAAGAGAUAACUAUUUAAUUUUGUAUUAUUAUUUACUGAUGC
rnacentral:lncRNA from 1 species